rnacentral:rRNA from 1 species
UACGAAGGGGGCUAGCGUUGUUCGGAUUUACUGGGCGUAAAGCGCACGUAGGCGGAUCGUUAAGUCGGGGGUGAAAUCCUGGAGCUCAACUCCAGAACUGCCUUCGAUACUGGCGAUCUUGAGUCCGGAAGAGGUGAGUGGAACUCCUAGUGUAGAGGUGGAAUUCGUAGAUAUUAGGAAGAACACCAGUGGCGAAGGCGGCUCCACUGGUC